rnacentral:rRNA from 1 species
AUUGAACGCUGGCGGCAGGCCUAACACAUGCAAGUCGAACGAGUGGCGGACGGGUGAGUAAUGUCUGGGAAACUGCCCGUUGGAGGGGGAUAACUACUGGAAACGGUAGCUAAUACCGCAUACCAUCGGAUGUGCCCAGAUGGGAUUAGCUAGUAGGUGGGGUAACGGCUCACCUAGGCGACGAUCCCUCGCUGGUCUGAGAGGAUGACCAGCCACACUGGAAAGGAGACACGGUUCAUACUCAUACGGGAGGAAGCAGGGGGGAAGAGUGCACAAUGGUCGCAAGCCUGAUGCAGCCAUGCCGAGUGUAGGAAGAAGGCCUUCGGGUUGUAAAGUACUUUCAGCGAGGAGGCGUUACUCGCAGAAGAAUCACCGGCUAACUCCGUGCCAGCAGCCGCGGUAUUUC